CGGCGGACGGGUGAGUAACACGUGGAUAACCUACCUAUAAGACUGGGAUAACUUCGGGAAACCGGAGCUAAUACCGGAUAAUAUAUUGAACCGCAUGGUUCAAUAGUGAAAGACGGUUUUGCCGUCACUUAUAGAUGGAUCCGCGCCGCAUUAGCUAGUUGGUAAGGUAACGGCUUACCAAGGCAACGAUGCGUAGCCGACCUGAGAGGGUGAUCGGCCACACUGGAACUGAGACACGGUCCAGACUCCUACGGGAGGCAGCAGAA
rnacentral:rRNA from 1 species